GACGAACGCUGGCGGCGUGCUUAACACAUGCAAGUCGAACGGAAAGGCCCUGCUUUUGUGGGGUGCUCGAGUGGCGAACGGGUGAGUAACACGUGAGUAACCUGCCCUUGACUUUGGGAUAACUUCAGGAAACUGGGGCUAAUACCGGAUAGGAGCUCCUGCUGCAUGGUGGGGGUUGGAAAGUUUCGGCGGUUGGGGAUGGACUCGCGGCUUAUCAGCUUGUUGGUGGGGUAGUGGCUUACCAAGGCUUUGACGGGUAGCCGGCCUGAGAGGGUGACCGGCCACAUUGGGACUGAGAUACGGCCCAGACUCCCACGGGAGGCAGCAGUGGGGAAUAUUGUACAAUGGGCGGAAGCCUGAUGCAGCAACGCCGCGUGCGGGAUGACGGCCUUCGGGUUGUAAACCGCUUUCGCCUGUGACGAAGCGUGAGUGACGGUAAUGGGUAAAGAAGCACCGGCUAACUACGUG
rnacentral:rRNA from 1 species